AAAUGGACAUUAUGCCUCACUCAUCCCAUUAUACAGAAUGAAAGCAAUAUUUUUCAUACUAUGCAUUCUCUUGGCCUCCAUUCUCGCUGUUCACCCUUCAACCGUGGCUCCACAACUUGCUGAGAAGGAGGCAAUUCGAUCUCCAGCUCGAUGUGCACUUGAUCCUAAUCGGAGCUGCACACCAAAGAGGCCUCCUAAUUGCCCAAUUUACCGUCCGAAUUGCAAUAAUCCCAUGCCAUAAGAUAUUAUGUUUUUGGAAUAAUAUGUCUAAUAAAGUUGCCAACUUUUGUAUUUUGUUGCUAAUGAAAAUUUAAUCUGAAGUGUGGCAAAUGAUUUGUGUUAUGAAUUGUCUGAUUAAUGUGAUUGUGAUGUAAUUUUCUACAGUACUACUAGACCUUGCUACAACCACUGAUGUAAAUAGAUUGUACUAAACUUAUUCACUACAUGCUGGUAUAUUGUGUCCAAAACAGGAAACAUUAUAUUCG